UUUUGUUUAACCAAGUUAAAUUUUGUUUUUCCAUUUCUCACAAUUUUUUUAGUUAUCCCCUGAUCUAUUGGAUACUGCUCCACCAUUUGCAAUCAAUUAAUUGAAUUAUGAAUGAGAAAUUUAUGUAAUUGUUUAGUAAGAGAUGGUGUAAGCAAGCACGUUUCCAGGAAGAGAAAAGCAUCAAGUGCGAGUUGAUAACGACUAGCCAUUAGCCAACUAUAUGCACCACAUAUAGGGAUGGUAAUUUGCCCCGAACCCGAUAAACCCCGCCCCUAAUAGGUCAGAUUUGGGAUCUCAAUAAACGGGGGCGGGGUGGAAAAAAAAAAAUCAAAAACCGUUUAGUAAUCGGGGCUGGUUCGGGUUUCACCCCGCAGCCCCGAACCCGCCCCGUUUACUCCGAUUAUAUGUAAAAAGUCAAAAUUAUUCUUAUUUUUUUAAAAAUUUACUGUAAUAUCCUUACUCACUCUCUCUCUCUCUCUCUCUAUCUAUCUAUCUAUCUAUCUAUCUAUCUAUAUAUAUAUAUAUAAUUAAAAAAAUUACUAAUCGGGUCAGGGUGGGACGGAGGUGGGGGAAAGAUUCUCAACCCGUCACGAGUUUGGAAUGGGGGUGGGAGAGCCGAACCCGUCCCAUUGCCAUCUCUAACCACAUACAGCAAAACAAUGUCCCUAUGCCUUUAAUCAUUGGAGAAUUUCAAAUCAGCGGGAGGAUCAAUGAGUAAAUUCAGAUUAGCAGUCUGACACUUCAAAAUAUCAAUGGAGGUGGUAAUUUCAAAAUAAUUAUCAGCAGCAUGGGUUUCCAAUUUUUGCUGAACGGGCUUACCCAUGGAGAGAAACGCGAAAGGUGCGAGCCACAUAUGCUAAGAGUGAAACUCACAAUGACGACAUGGAGUUUUGACGUUGGUGAGGACGACAACGACGACGAAUGUUGCAAUUGGUGAUGAUGGAGAGUGUGCGUGGGAAGUUUGAAGAGGAGAGCAAGCGAGAGGGCAUUGUGAAAAGUGUUAGGGAAGAAAAUGGGUGCAAGUCAUCUUGCAUGGGUGGUUUGACCCUUCGAAAAAUGACUGUUCAUCUUAGUACAUUGAGAAUGUAUACUUCUGUGAUUAUUUUAUUGUUACCACUUUUGUCAAUAUUUUUGAAGUGUGCCUUGAAACUACUACUUGGUCUUUCUGCUGAUUACGAAUAAGAUUUGAAUCUAGUUCACAAAUAUUUUUUUUUUUGGUUGAAAAUUAUCAAUAAAUAUUACUUUUUUCUCAACUUUAGCAUUAAGUCCUAUCAAAUUCAAUGUGGACAUCUAAGUCCUAUGUUCGUUAAAUUGUUAAAAAAAGAUCAAAUCUCGACAAUGACGUGUUUUGUUCCAAUAUUGCCCCUUAUUAAAAUAUAACUUUUUCUUUUAUAAACUCGUGGUUGGUUCAUGAAAUAUUUUCAUUAUGGCAAAUUUAUCAUAAAAAAUCUAGUAACGAAUUAACCUUAUAUGAAUGGUUAAAAUAAUUGUUGAAUUCAGUGAUUUGAGUUGGUUUAGGAGAACCACCUCAAUGUUAUAUUCUUCUUUCUCUCGUUAUCGUCUUCUUCAACAUCAUCGUCUUCUCCUAUCUCUAAUGCUCAUUUUUUACGAAUUUAAAACCAACCAUAAAAUUUGAGAACAAGAGAAUAUGAUGAAGUUGUACGGGAGGAUCCGAUGACGGAGAGGAUGUUGGCAAUGAAGGGGCAAGGAGUAGUUCGUAGUAGGAUUAUAUAGAGAACAAUAAUGUUGAUGGCGAUAAUAUUUAGAUGUUGGUGAUAAGAACGAGAGAGAGAGAGGCAUCGGAAAAUCUUUUUGUUGUGAAUAUUUGAUUUUAAUAUGCAGAACUUCAAAAAGUUUUAAAAAAAUUACAUACUUUUGUUGUAUAUAUGUAUAAAUAGAUCUCUAUAUUUCUUUAUGUUAAUAAAUUAAUUAAUAGGGAGANNNNNNNNNNNNNNNNNNNNNNNNNNNNNNNNNNNNNNNNNNNNNNNNNNNNNNNNNNNNNNNNNNNNNNNNNNNNNNNNNNNNNNNNNNNNNNNNNNNNUUUUUUGGUAAUAAGCGGGUUGAGUAAAAAAAAAUCUGCAAACACGUUAUACAUUAUAAGGAGCCAAAACCCAUAGGCUUUACAAAACACGGUCGCAACCUACCCCGAAAAUAGAACCUAUGCUGCAAAAUUAACCCGCAAGGGACGGAGAAGCAAAACAAAAGAUCUUGGACCUUCCACAAGGCUAGGCAAAUACUACAAAAAAAGAUUAAUGGUCGCAUCUUUGGAAUCUCCCUCUAUUGCUCCGGCCGACCCACAAGGAGGAAAGAACAACAGGAAGGAGAAGAGAAGUAUGCACAAAUGCAAACAUCUCAACACGGGUAAACUAUUCUUGAACACCCUCAAGAAGGGAAUCCAAAUGAUAUUUUCGUCUUUGAAUGGGCCAAUGUUAAUCAUACUCGGUUUGAUAGUUUAUCCCAUUAUUGAUUCUAUAAUUUCCAUCGCUAUAUCAGAAAAAAA
rnacentral:lncRNA from 1 species